CAGAGAAUAGUUUAAUUUAAAAUAUUAAUUUUGGGGAUUAAUGAUAGAUAUUAUAUCUUUCUCUGA
rnacentral:tRNA from 1 species